rnacentral:rRNA from 1 species
GACGAACGCUGGCGGCGUGCCUAAUACAUGCAAGUAGAACGCACAGUUUAUACCGUAGCUUGCUACACCAUAGACUGUGAGUUGCGAACGGGUGAGUAACGCGUAGGUAACCUGCCUGGUAGCGGGGGAUAACUAUUGGAAACGAUAGCUAAUACCGCAUAAUAUUGAUUAUUGCAUGAUAAUUAAUUGAAAGGUGCAAUUGCACCACUACCAGAUGGACCUGCGUUGUAUUAGCUAGUAGGUGAGGUAACGGCUCACCUAGGCGACGAUACAUAGCCGACCUGAGAGGGUGAUCGGCCACACUGGGACUGAGACACGGCCCAGACUCCUACGGGAGGCAGCAGUAGGGAAUCUUCGGCAAUGGACGAAAGUCUGACCGAGCAACGCCGCGUGAGGGAAGAAGGUUUUCGGAUCGUAAAGCUCUGUUGUAAGAGAAGAACGGGUGUGAGAGUGGAAAGUUCACACUGUGACGGUAUCUUACCAGAAAGGGACGGCUAACUACGUG